AAAGAACUCUAAAAUGGAUAGGGAGUCAGUGAAGGGAUGCCAGAAUCGGAGUGAUGUGCUCCUUCUUAUGAGUACCUGUCAACAGGCGAGCAGCAGCAUUUUGGACCAACUGGAGACGCUUCAUGGAGGAGUGGCUGACUCCAAAGUCAAGUGCAUUGCAGGAAUCCAUGUGACGAAGGCAUGAAGGACUGAGCUGCUCACAAGGACUCUGUCCUAACAGUUCAAAUUGUACUGUCAACUGAGUGGUUCCGAUGAAAUCCGACUUUGUAGCCAGCUGUGGCGCCGUCAGCGGCCUCGGGGCGUGCCGGAAGGCUGAUGAGGGUCACCAUCAUCCGCUUCAUCAAGGAUCUCACAACCGACAGCUCCCGACAGCGAGUAAGACCCCCAAACAAGCCAGGAGGGAGGGGCAGGGAGAGCCAUGCAAUCAGGUGGUGAGAAAGCACUCGCCUCUUUUCAGAAAUAUUGUUUUCAUAUGCUGCUGUCUUUUCAAAAAUAAUGAUCGGAUGUUUGAUGACCUAUUACUUACCCAUUUCUUUUUAUUAUUUCAAAAGAUACUUUCAUUUAAUUAUAUUUAUGAUGAGCUUUUUAUAUUGUGCCACCGGGAGUUACAAACAAAUUGUCCCGUAUGAAGAGAAUGCGCGCUCGUUAAAAAAAUCCGUAAGUGAAAAGGCGGCUUUGUGACAUGCAACUUUUUGACAGAGUAUAUUUUAAAACAAAACUUAUUAUCUGAGCAGCCUUUUCUUGAGACCCGAAGAAAGAUCUAUUUCUGUCAGUGCCCCGACAUCUUUCCGCUUUGUUUCACUAACCAGUCUUGAAAACAUACACAAAAACGCCAUCAGUACUCAUGCGGAGUCACAAUGGCUCUUAUCAAGCAAACACAUUCAAAGCAGACAUUCUCACUUACUGGACGUGAAGCAGACUCGAAAAUUGUCACAAUUUAGCGAUAGUGCGUCCCACAUGAGACUCGACCUCAUGAAAGCUUAAAAGCCGAUCCCUCCAUGUCUUGGGAUAUUCUAGUUAGUUCUACUUGCAGCACUAGAUGUACCUACACGUACAGUGUUUACAA